GAUUUCUGGUCUGGUGCGCCUGGCCCGCCGCAUCAGCGUGUGAGUGCCGGGUCGCGCCUGCCAUCCUUCUAGAAAACAUAUCUACCCUUCACUGGGCCGGAUAUGCGAUCUAGAUCUUUUACUUUGAAAAAAUUAGAGUGUUUAAAGCAGGCAUUUGCUAUGAAUACAUUAGCAUGGAAUAAUAAUUUAGGACUUCGGUUCUAUUUUGUUGGUUUCUAGGACUGAAGUAAUGAUUGAUAGGGAUAGUUGGGGGUGCUAGUAUUCAGCGGCCAGAGGUGAAAUUCUCGGAUUCGCUGAAGACUAACUUAUGCGAAAGCAUU
rnacentral:rRNA from 1 species